rnacentral:tRNA from 1 species
GCCUGGCUAGCUCAGUUGGUAGAGCAUGCAACUCUUGAUCUCAGGGUUGUGGGUUCAAGCCCCACAUUGGGUA